rnacentral:rRNA from 1 species
CCUACGGGAGGCAGCAGUGGGGAAUAUUGCACAAUGGGGGAAACCCUGAUGCAGCGACGCCGCGUGAGUGAAGAAGUAUUUCGGUAUGUAAAGCUCUAUCAGCAGGGAAGAAGCAAGACGGUACCUGACUAAGAAGCCCCGGCUAACUACGUGCCAGCAGCCGCGGUAAUACGUAGGGGCCAAGGGUAUUCCGGAUUUACUGGGUGUAAAGGGAGCGUAGGCGGUAUGGCAAGUCUGAGGUGAAAGCCCAGGGCUUAACCUUGGGACUGCUUUGGAAACUGUUGGACUCGGGUGCUGGAGAGGCAAGUGGAAUUCCUAGUGUAGCGGUGAAAUGCGUAGAUAUUAGGAGGAACACCAGUGGCGAAGGCGGCUUACUGGACAGUAACUGACGUUGAGGCUCGAAAGCGUGGGGAGCAAACAGGAUUAGAUACCCGGGUAGUC